CCUACGGGGGGCUGCAGUGAGGAAUAUUGGUCAAUGGACGAGAGUCUGAACCAGCCAAGUAGCGUGAAGGAUGACUGCCCUAUGGGUUGUAAACUUCUUUUAUAUGGGAAUAAAAUGUUCCACGUGUGGGAUUUUGUAUGUACCAUAUGAAUAAGGAUCGGCUAACUCCGUGCCAGCAGCCGCGGUAAUACGGAGGAUCCGAGCGUUAUCCGGAUUUAUUGGGUUUAAAGGGAGCGUAGGUGGAUUGUUAAGUCAGGUGUGAAAGUUUGCGGCUCAACCGUAAAAUUGCAGUGGAAACUGGCAGUCUUGAGUACAGUAGAGGUGGGCGGAAUUCGUGGUGUAGCGGUGAAAUGCUUAGAUAUAACGAAGAACUCCGAUGGCGAAGGCAGUUCACUGGACUGCAACUGACACUGAGGCUCGAAAGUGUGGGUAUCAAACAGGAUUAGAUACCCGGGUAGUC
rnacentral:rRNA from 1 species